rnacentral:misc_RNA from 1 species
UUAAUUUCGUUUCAUCGUAUUCGAUAUCCCGAAGAAUAUCUUGGAUGGGUCACAAUCAGAGUGAAUUGGUAUAUCACACUUUGACAAGUGGAUAGAAAUGACCAGGAACACGACGAGCGCAUCCCUGGCGGAGAUCAACUUAUCCGAAAAUAAGCUGAUCAUAAGAUAGUGGUUCCACGUAACCGAAGACGAUAAGGUGUUACCCGAAUCGAAUUCUUAUAAAUAAGGUGUGAUAAUGAUCCUUCCGCAGGUUCACCUACGGAAA